rnacentral:rRNA from 1 species
GACAGAGGGUGCAAACGUUGUUCGGAAUGACUGGGCGUAAAGCGCGUGUAGGCGGCUCGGCAAGUCGGAUGUGAAAGCCCUGGGCUCAACCCAGGAAGUGCACUCGAAACUGCCGAGCUGGAGUCCCGGAGAGGAAGGCGGAAUUCUCGGUGUAGAGGUGAAAUUCGUAGAUAUCGAGAGGAACACCUGCGGCGAAGGCGGGUUGCUGGGCCGUCCCUGACGCUGAUGCGCGAAAGCCAGGGGAGCGAACGGG